AUUCCCCCAAAUUUUAUUUUCACCAUUAUGCCUUAAGUGAUAUCAAAAAUUGCAGCAAGUUGCUUUGGGGCUAUUGAUAAAGAAUGCAGGUGAGUAACAUGUUUGAUAAUUAGUGUUAAUUAGUGGUAUUCCAAUUCAUAAUUUUUUAGUUUUGAAAUGUGUGAACUGAUUUUACAGGCUUUCUACCAUACAAGUAGUUGACAGGAUUGUGGUGAUGGAUAGAGGUCAUGUUGUUGAGGUUGGUAUAUUUUUCUAUUAUAUUUUGAAUACCUCAAAUAUUUUAAUCAGUAUUCUUUCUUGAUGUUUAUUAUCUUUCAUACAUGAGCCCCACUUUUUUUUUGUUUCAUUAACAAUGUAAAAGUUCACACACAUGUUGGGCUAAUGCUUCUCUAACAAUUCUCAUUUCUUUCUUUUUUUCACAUUUCUCUGUCCACGUUUCUUGCAAAAUUUCACACACAUGUUGGGCUAAUACUGAAGGUUGAAAAAAAUGUUAAUAUAAUUCAAAGUGAAAUCAUCUUGAGCCAUAAGAUAUUUUCUACAUUACAGUGUAGCUAUUACAACCAUGGCGAUAUGUCUAAACAAUAUCAAUAAAUCAAUUGGCAAAAAUCAUUCAAUGUGUGAAACUUCCAUAUUAUGAUAACAAUGCUUCCAAAUAUGCCUUUUGCAAUUUCAAAAACUGAUUCUAUUAAUCAGUGAUUUGACUGUUAUGUUUCUUUUUAUAACUUAAAUGUUUUUCUGGCUCUUCACUACAGUUAGGGAUGGAUUGGUAAGUAAAAGUCUAUGAUGAUCAUGAUUAAAGAAAAUCAAUGGUUAUGAUUUAAUCAAGUACCAUAAAUGCUGUCUGCAUAAUCAGGGAUUUGAAUAUUUGAUUCUAUUAAUCAGU
rnacentral:lncRNA from 1 species